rnacentral:lncRNA from 1 species
UCUGUCAUGCCCCACGCAAAGAAUAUUACAAGAAAUUCCUCUAUGAAGCUUUCCCGGUUGAAAGCCAUUUGCAUCAUUAUCUGCAUGAUAAUCUAAAUGCCGAGGUGGUGGUUGGGGUCAUCCAAAACAAGCAGGAUGCCGUGGACUACCUGACUUGGACAUUUAUCUAUAGAAGGCUGACUCAGAACCCAAACUAUUACAAUCUUCAAGGUGUCAGUCACAGGCAUCUCUCAGAUCACCUGUCCGAGCUCGUGGAGAGCACCAUCAGUGAUCUAGAAGCGAGUAAAUGUGUUGAAGUUGAGGAUGACUAUUUACUGGCCCCUGCAAAUCUUGGCCUGAUUGCUUCUUAUUACUAUAUUAGUUACACAACAAUUGAGCGCUUCAGUUCCUCUCUGACUUCUAAAACAAAGAUGAAGGGUCUCUUGGAAAUCUUGGCUUCAGCCUCAGAGUACGAGCAGCUUCCAAUAAGACCUGGAGAAGAAGAGUUGAUAAGAAGGUUAAUACAUCAUCAGCGCUUCUCCUUUGAAAAUCCCAAGUACACGGAUCCAAAUGUCAAAGCAAAUGCUCUACUGCAAGCUCAUUUCUCCAGGCAGACAAUUGGUAGGAGUAUUUGUCUUCUGACCAGCAGGAGGUGCUUAUCUAUGCAAGCAGGCUUCUUCAGGCCAUGGUUGAUGUAAUUUCGAGCAAUGGCUGGCUCAGCCUGGCCCUUCUUGCCAUGGAAGUAAGUCAGAUGGUAACUCAGGGAAUGUGGGAGCGCGAUUCAAUGCUCCUCCAACUUCCUCACUUCACCAAGGAAUUGGCUAAGAGGUGCCAGGAAAAUCCUGGGAAAAAUAUUGAGACAAUCUUCGAUCUGCUGGAAAUGGAGGAUGAUGAAAGGCGGGAGCUAUUGCAAAUCUCCGAUACACAGUUGAUGGACAUUGCUCGGUUUUGUAAUCGCNGAAGAAGAAUUGGAGAGGUCUGGAUGAGGUAGUUGAUUAACUGGGAGACUGCAACAGACUUGAAACUUCUCGAGAAAGGUCAAAUAAUCAUAAGCACUCCUGAGAAAUGGGAUGCUUUAUCUCGCCGAUGGAAACAAAGGAAGCAUGUUCAGCAGGUUAGUGUGUUCAUUAUUGAUGAACUUCAUUUGAUUGGAGGUCAAGGUGGGCCUAUCCUGGAGGUCGAUAGUCUCUAGGAUGAGGUACAUUGCUAGUCAGCUGGAGAACAAGAUUCGUAUUGUUGCCCUGUCAAGUUCUCUUGCAAAUGCCAAGGAUUUGGGAGAAUGGAUUGGCGCUACAUCCCACGGUCUUUUCAAUUUCCCUCCUGGUGUUAGGCCUGUACCUUUGGAAAUUCACAUCCAAGGUGUUGACAUCGCUAAUUUUGAAGCAAGGAUGCAAGCCAUGACAAAACCUACAUACACAGCAAUUGUGCAGCAUGCUAAGAACGGUAAACCUGCCAUUGUAUUUGUUCCUACCAGGAAGCAUGCCCGUAUGACUGCGGUGGACUUGAUGACUUAUUCAAGUGUGGAUAGUGAACAAAACCCUUGUUCUUAUUACAGUCUUCAGAAGAGUUGGCUCCCUUUGUUGCCAACAUAAAGGGAACCUAUGUUGAAGGAGACUAUUCAGUUUGGUGUGGGUUAUUUGCAUGAAGGCCUAAGCAGUACAGAUCAGGAUAUAGUAAAGACAUUGUUUGAAACAGGUUGCAUUCAAGUCUGUGUGAUGAGCAGUACAAUGUGUUGGGGAGUCCCACUUUCUGCUCAUCUGGUAGUGGUUAUGGGAACACAGUACUAUGAUGGCAGAGAAAAUGCUCAUAGUGAUUAUCCAGUCACUGAUUUACUGCAGAUGAUGGGUCAUGCCAGUCGACCGCUAGUAGACAAUUCUGGAAAAUGCGUCAUCCUCUGUCAUGCCCCACGCAAAGAAUAUUACAAGAAAUUCCUCUAUGAAGCUUUCCCGGUUGAAAGCCAUUUGCAUCAUUAUCUGCAUGAUAAUCUAAAUGCCGAGGUGGUGGUUGGGGUCAUCCAAAACAAGCAGGACUGCCGUGGACUACCUGACUUGGACAUUUAUCUAUAGAAGGCUGACUCAGAACCCAAACUAUUACAAUCUUCAAGGUGUCAGUCACAGGCAUCUCUCAGAUCACCUGUCCGAGCUCGUGGAGAGCACCAUCAGUGAUCUAGAAGCGAGUAAAUGUGUUGAAGUUGAGGAUGACUAUUUACUGGCCCCUGCAAAUCUUGGCCUGAUUGCUUCUUAUUACUAUAUUAGUUACACAACAAUUGAGCGCUUCAGUUC